AGGAGGAAGGAGGGCAGGCCGCGUCGGGCCUGUAGGGCUGAACGCGGAGGGGAGCAGGGACCGCUGUGACCCAGCCCCAUCCCGCAAGGCGCCGGCUGUGCGGCCUGGCCCGGCCCAGCUCCCCAGCCAUGCUGUCGCGGGGAGCGGCGAGCGGGUGGGCUCUGCGCGGGGCGGCGCGGGCGGGAGUGCAGCAGCGGCCGCCACCGUUCCGCGGGCUCCACGCCUCUCCGCGGACACGGUCGGUCAUGCCUUCCUGGGUCAUAGACCGGUACGGCCACAACGACGUGCUGCGCUUCACCAGGAACAUGGUGUUCCCCAUCAUACACUUCCCGAACGAGGUCAUCAUUAAGGUUCACGCUGCGAGCCUGAACCCGAUCGACCUUAGGAUGAGAAGUGGUUAUGGUGCAACUGCAUUAAAUAUGAAGCGGGAUCCCCUGAAACUGAAAAGUGAGGACACUGAAUUUCCACUAACACUUGGUCGAGAUGUCUCAGGUGUUGUUAUGGAAUGUGGACUGGGUGUGUCUUAUUUCAAACCUGGAGAUGAGGUGUGGGCAGCAAUUCCUCCAUGGAAACAGGGCACACUGUCAGAGUUUGUGGUUGCUAGUGGAAACGAGGUGUCUUUUAAGCCAAAGUGUCUCUCUCACACAGAAGCUGCCUCCUUACCAUAUGUAGGUCUCACAGCAUGGUCUGCUGUUAACCAAGUUGGAGGACUGAACCAAAGUAAUUGCAGAGGGAAGAGAGUAUUAAUAUUAGGAGCUUCAGGAGGAGUUGGUACAUUUGCUGUACAGCUAGUGAAGGCCUGGGGUGCUCACGUGACAGCAGUUUGUUCUCAUGAUGCCAGCACACUGAUGAAAAAGCUCGGAGCAGAUGAUGUGAUUGAUUACAAAUCUGGAAAUCUGGAAGAGCAACUUAAAACGUUACCCUUAUUUGAUUUCAUCCUAGAUAAUGUUGGUGGAUCCACAGAGAAGUGGGCUCUAGAUCUCCUGAAGAAAUGGUCAGGAGCAACAUAUGUUACCUUAGUAACACCUUUCCUGAUCAAUAUGGACAGACUUGGAGUGGCUGAUGGCAUGUUACAAACGGGAGUCACUGUUGGUUCCAAAACUGUAAAGCAUCUUUUAAAAGGAGUUCAUUAUCGGUGGGCGUUUUUUAUGGCAAGUGGCCCAAGUUUGGAUGAAAUUGCAGAACUAGUUGAUUCUGGAAAGUGAGGGUUGACCCUAGAACCUAAUACUGGCAAGCAGUAUGAAACUCAGCAUCGAUUUAAGGUGAAGGAAGAAUGAAGAAAGGGGUGGAAUUAAGACCCAAAAAACAUGGAACUUGAGUACAGCCGAGGAGGAGAUGCUCAGUUGAAGAGAAGAAAUGUUAGAAACAGCAGUGUCCCAAACCUGCGUUUUCUUCAUGAGAUGACACUAAAGUACUGAACAGAUUCAACCAGUUAUUGAUGAAGUCUUCUCUUUUUCUGAAGUUCCAAAGGCCUUUCAGAAAUUGGAAGGAGGACACGCACGUGGAAAAACAGUGAUCAAUGUAAUUAGUAAAAAAUAAAGUAUCUCUAAUCA